rnacentral:rRNA from 1 species
AGCGAACGCUGGCGGCAGGCUUAACACAUGCAAGUCGAGCGCUCGUAGCAAUACGAGAGCGGCAGACGGGAGAGUAACACGUGGGAACGUACCCUUCGGUUCGGAAUAACCCAGGGAAACUUGGGCUAAUACCGGAUACGUCCGUAAGGAAAAAGAUUUAUCGCCGAGGGAUCGGCCCGCGUCCGGUUAGCUAGUUGGUGGGGUAAUGGCCCACCAAGGCGACGAUCGGUAGCUGGUCUGAGAGGAUGAUCAGCCUCACUGGGACUGAGACACGGCCCAGACUCCGACGGGAGGCAGCAGUGGGGAAUAUUGGACAAUGGGCGCAAGCCUGAUCCAGCCAUGCCGCGUGGGUGAUGAAGGCCUUAGGGUUGUAAAGCCCUUUCGGCGGGGAAGAUAAUGACAGUACCCGCAGAAGAAGCCCCGGCUAACUUCGUGCCAGCCGCCGCCGUAA